UAACGGUACCCUUUCUGCGCCUGUUCCUGUCUGUUAUGAAAACUGUGACAUAGACGCAAUUCCUUUCUCAAAUCAAACAAUGGCUGAUUCUUUGGACCAUGAUGCAAGUAUCGUUAUAGCAUGUAACAUGGGCUUCUCUACCGGUACCGGCAUUCUAACAGAGCUUAUGUGUGAUAAUGGGACCCUUUCUGCGCCUGUUCCUGUCUGUUAUGGUAAGAUCCUCUUAAUCUUGAGUAAAGCUGCCCCCCC